UGAAUACGAGAUGCUACGGCGUCGAAGCAGUCUAUGUCAUACUUCCAAGAAAAGCUUGCACUGUCAUAAACAAAUAAUGCCUGUACCAUAACCGACACAGGUGGGUAGGUAGAGUAUACUAAGGGGCGCGAGAUAACUCUCUCUAAGGAACUCGGCAAAAUGACUCCGUAACUUCGGGAGAAGGAGUGCCUUAUUUAUAAGGUUGCAAUAACAAGAUCCAAGCAACUGUUUACCAAAAACACAGGUCUCCGCUAAGUCGUAAGACGAUGUAUGGGGGCUGACGCCUGCCCAGUGCCAGAAGGUCAAAGAAGUUGGUUAGCAUCCGCGAAGCUGAUAACUGAAGCCCUGGUGAACGGCGGCCGUAACAAUAACGGUCCUAAGGAAGCGAAAUUCCUUGUCGGGUAAGUUCCGACCCGCACGAAAGGCGUAAUGAUUUGGAUACUGUCUCGGAGAGGGGCUCGGUGAAAUAGACUUGUCUGUGAAGAUGCGGACUACCUGCACCAGGACAGAAAGACCCUAUGAAGCUUUACUGUAACCUGAAAUUGAAAUUGGACUUUACUUGCGCAGUAUAGGUGGGAGGCGUUGAGAAUAUUCUUGCGGGAUUAUUGGAGCCAUCAGUGAGAUACCACUCUUGUAAUGUUAGAUUUCUAACUUUGUAUCAUUAUCUGGUCAAAGAACAGUUUCAGGCGGGCAGUUUGACUGGGGCGGUCGCCUCCUAAACGGUAACGGAGGCGCACAAAGGUUUCCUCUGAACGGGUAGAAAUCGUAUCUAGAGUGUAAAGGCAUAAGGAAGCCUGACUGUGAGACCUACAAGUCGAGCAGGGACGAAAGUCGGUCUUAGUGAUCUGACGGUGCUGAGUGGAAAGGCCGUCACUCAACGGAUAAAAGUUACUCUAAGGAUAACAGGCUGAUCUCCCCCAAGAGUUCACAUCGACGGGGAGGUUUGGCACCUCGAUGUCGGCUCAUCGCAUCCUGGGGCGGUAGUACGUCCCAAGGGUUGGGCUGUUCGCCCAUGAAAGCGGUACGCGAGCUGGGUUCAGAACGUCGUGAGACAGUUCGGUCCAUAUCCGGUGUAGGCGUUAGAAUAUUGAGAGGAGCCUUCUUUAGUACGAGAGGACCGAGAAGGACAUACCUCUGGUGUACCAGUUAUCGUGCCAACGGUAAACGCUGGGUAGCUAUGUGUGGAGUGGAUAACCGCUGAAAGCAUCUAAGUGGGAAGCCCACCUCAAGAUAAGUAUUCUC
rnacentral:rRNA from 1 species